AGUGAACGCUGGCGGUAGGCCUAACACAUGCAAGUCGAACGGCAGCACAGUAAGAGCUUGCUCUUACGGGUGGCGAGUGGCGGACCGGUGAGGAAUACAUCGGAAUCUACUUUUUCGUGGGGGAUAACGUAGGGAAACUUACGCUAAUACCGCAUACGACCUACGGGUGAAAGCAGGGGAUCUUCGGACCUUGCGCGAUUGAAUGAGCCGAUGUCGGAUUAGCUAGUUGGCGGGGUAAAGGCCCACCAAGGCGACGAUCCGUAGCUGGUCUGAGAGGAUGAUCAGCCACACUGGAACUUAGACACGGUCCAGACUCCUACGGGAGGCAGCAGUGGGGAAUAUUGGACAAUGGGCGCAAGCCUGAUCCAGCCAUACCGCGUGGGUGAAGAAGGCCUUCGGGUUGUAAAGCCCUUUUGUUGGGAAAGAAAAGCAGCAGGUUAAUACCCCGCUGUUCUGACGGUACCCAAAGAAUAAGCACCGGCUAACUUCGUG
rnacentral:rRNA from 1 species